UGGGGAAUAUUGGACAAUGGGGGCAACCCUGAUCCAGCCAUGCCGCGUGAGUGAUGAAGGCCCUAGGGUUGUAAAGCUCUUUUAACGGGGAAGAUAAUGACGGUACCCGUAGAAUAAGCCCCGGCUAACUUCGUGC
rnacentral:rRNA from 1 species